AUAUAUACUUUUAAAGUGCACGGACAGAUUUAUCACAGAUUGGACCAACUGAGACCGGGGAAAGAAGGCCCCCAUCAUAUGCAGUUGUACUUCUAUGACACUACGAUAUAAUGCACCUACUAUGGACCAAGUUGCAGUUAUCUGGCAGGAUGGCUUUGAUGAAAAAAAAUAAAUUUAAACGGAGUAUUAUGGUUUUUCCAAAUUCUGGGGGGGCACAAUUUAUACGGGCAUACCAUGGUUGUUAUGAUCCAUUAGCGUAUCCUAUCCUUUGUCCCAGUAGUGAGACUGGCUGGGAGGACAAGAGUAUAUUGUUGGAGAAAACACCUACAAUACGCUUUCCGCGACCUAGACGGAAAUAUACAAAGCGAAAAGCUGAGGAUGCUACGAAGGGUAAUUCUCAAGCGACAUGUAGAUCGGGUGUUAAAUGGAAAUAUGUAGAAACAACAAUUCAAGAUAUUUGUGAGGAACAAGGUGACUGUGACGACGACAUGGAUGAAGACGGUGAAGGAGAUAAACUUUAUACAUGG